GGGCUGUUAGCUCAGUUGGUAGAGCAUCGCGUUUGCAACGCGGGGGUCAAGGGUUCGAAUCCCUUACAGUCCACCA
rnacentral:tRNA from 2 species